rnacentral:rRNA from 1 species
GGACAUGNGGGAACGCCUGGNCCAGCAAUGCCGCGUGAGUGAAGAAGGCCUUAGGGUUGUAAAGCUCUUUCGGCGGGGACGAUGGUGACGGUACCCGCAGAAGAAGCCCCGGCUAACUUCGUGCCAGCAGCCGCGGUAAUACGAAGGGGGCUAGCGUUGUUCGGAAUCACUGGGCGUAAAGGGCGCGUAGGCGGCGCGACAAGUCAGGCGUGAAAGCCCCGGGCUCAACCCGGGAAUUGCGCUUGAUACUCGUCGUGCUUGAGGCCGGGAGAGGAUGGCGGAAUUCCCAGUGUAGAGGUGAAAUUCGUAGAUAUUGGGAAGAACACCGGUGGCGAAGGCGGCCAUCUGGACCGGUUCUGACGCUGAGGCGCGAAAGCGUGGGGAGCAAACAGGAUUAGAUACCCUGGUAGUCCACGCCGUAAACGAUGAGUGCUAGACGUCGGGGGGUUCACCUUCCGGUGUCUCAGCUAACGCUUUAAGCACUCCGCCUGGGGAGUACGGUCGCAAGAUUAAAACUCAAAGAAAUUGACGGA